rnacentral:rRNA from 1 species
CGCUGGCGGCAGGCCUAACACAUGCAAGUCGAGCGAACCCUUCGGGUUAGCGGCGGACGGGUUAGUAACGCGUGGGAAUAUACCCUUUGGUACGGAAUAGCCUCGGGAAACUGAGAGUAAUACCGUAUGUGCCCUUCGGGGGAAAGAUUUAUCGCCAAAGGAUUAGCCCGCGUUGGAUUAGGUAGUUGGUGGGGUAAUGGCCUACCAAGCCUACGAUCCAUAGCUGGUUUGAGAGGAUGAUCAGCAACACUGGGACUGAGACACGGCCCAGACUCCUACGGGAGGCAGCAGUGGGGAAUCUUAGACAAUGGGCGCAAGCCUGAUCUAGCCAUGCCGCGUGGACGAUGAAGGCCUUAGGGUUGUAAAGUCCUUUCAGAUGGGAAGAUAAUGACGGUACCAUCAGAAGAAGCCCGGCUAACUCCGUG